CAGCGCCACGAGUGGGGACCGCGUUUAUUUGGCCUAAAGCGUUCGUAGCCUGUUGAGUAAAUCUUAUGUGAAAUCGUUGCCCUUAAUGCAACGGCGUGCAUGAGACACUGCUCAACUAGGAACCGGUAGGGGUCAGAAGUAUGCCAGGGGGAGCGGUAAAAUGCUAUAAUCCUUGGUGGACUACCUUUGGCGAAGGCGUCUGACUAGAACGGGUUCGACGGUGAGGAACGAAAGCUAGGGGAGCGAUCCGGAUUAGAGACCCGAGUAGUCC
rnacentral:rRNA from 1 species